AUAUAUAUAAAAAUAUUUCCAUGAUGUAAUUAUCAGGAUAGUUUACCUGUGAUUAGUGGUUCAUUGGUACUGAACACACCAUGUUAGCUUGUUAGAAAUCAUAACACUGCUUUAUAUCUUUAUAUCUGCCUCUUUCUGGCACAACAGGCCGAGCAUGAUUCUAGCUUUUGUUAUUUUAAGGUUUAGUUUGACGGCUUAGUUAAGAAGUAUUACUGGGGUGUGUGUGUGUAUUUGUGUAUCACAGUCAAAGUGAAAAGUGUGAAAGAAGGUUAUUUGGUUUAAUGCAGCAUAGUGCAACAACAAGUUAAGACACUUAAUAUUCCUGUUUUUUAUUUUAAAAAGUGGGACACUGUUGUAUGUAAUGUUAUAUUGGUUUCUGGGUGUGUUAAUUAUCUCCAAGGGUUAACCCUGUGGGCUCUGGGCUUCACUGGGUGUGUUUUUCACAAAAUCUAAAUCAUGGUGAAAGUUCCUUGAGUCCUGUCGCACCGCGUCACCGACCGGCUGCCUUUCUCUGUGUGUGAAUCACACACCAGUUCACAGGAGGAGGAAGAGGAAACCGACUGGUUCAUCUAGUACUUUAAACGUAUUUCUGCCCCCGAUUAUCGCAGAGAAAUAAAUAUUUUAAAAAGGUGAUUAUGUUUAUUUAGUAGUUACAUUAGUAGAGCAGUCAGUAAGUUAUAUCUGUGAGGUACUCUAUGGAUCCAAGACUCAUAACAUAGAGAUAAGUUAGUUAUAAGAACACAAUUAAAUGAAGUAAAGAACUCGGGGCCCUAUCUACCAUUAGGGUAGAAGACAGGCUUCAUAAUGAUGUCAUCAUAUUGUCCCAGUACCCACAAUGCAGCCCAUAGUCACUGCGUCUUUAACCCUCUAGUUUAAACUACUAGAUGAAUCAGUCGGGUUUCCUCUUCCUCCUCCGUGAGCUCGUGCGUGGGUCACACAGAGAGAGAGGGGACGGGUCGGUUGACGGAGCUUCAGAGCCCGAAGGCUUUCCUUUCCAACGCUGGAUAGAAAUUUCACUCCACUCUGUUUUUUUAGAUGGAGGUUUUGACCUCUCCUCCACCAGGACACACCGGACCAGAGUGAUGAGGACGGGGCUCGGAUGUGGAGACUAAAAGUCCCACAUCGUCUUCACUGGCGUCCCACGGACGGGAAGCGAGGCGGGGAGGGGGCUGAUGACCAGAGUCCAGGAAGAAGCCCGGCUCAGAAGGAAGAGGAGAGGAAGCAUGAAGGCGGUGGGGAAAAAACUACCUGAUGCUGUAAACCUUCAUCUCUCCUGGACCAGCAGGAUGUGGAGCUGUGGAUCACAGCCCAGGAGAACGCUGCUGAGAAGAGAACACUAAAGACAUGAGAAAGAAAUGGCCACCAGAGGACACAUGAAGAGGACGUGGACGAGGAAAAGACCGCUGUCACAAAACAGCUGUCAGGUCGUAUGGAACCAGAGUCAACAGCUUUGUACACAACGACUUUGUACACAACAACUUUGUGACGCGAGAUGGAAGGGAAGCGUCCCACAAAUUAUAUUAGAGAGAAGAGACAGUUGUGUUCAGUUUAUGCAACCUAGUGUUCUGUGAAGAGAGAGAGAGAGGAAGAAGAGAGAGACUGAGGGUGAGAACACUGUUAGUGUUCUAAAGCCGUGUGAAUGCAUUAGAAAACAAUUCAUGCAACCUAUUGUUCUAUAAUAGUAAUUGUUUAAAUAAAUCAAUUCUGUACUCAGGAGACACUGUUCAUUGCAUCUUUCUUGGAAAGUGUACGAUAAUACGUUUGUCUAUCAAUAAUGAUAUCCAUAAACAAUCACCUGUCCCUUUAUGCAGCGCUCUAAUGAUGUCAUCACAUGGUCACUCUUUUUAAACCAGACACACCUAUUUAUUAUUUCAUAAUCACAUACAAAAUAAUAACUGCAGCAUAAGAGAGAAGGAUGGUCAACUAUUCCAUUAUAAAAAAUGAACCCAACAGCGCCCUCUAGGAAACGGUCCUCACUCUGAUGGUCAACUGGGUCAGGAUUGAUUUAAUUUGAAUUCUUAAUAUAAAAAUAAUCUGAGGUGGGAACUUUAGUGGGGCAGCUUCCUGGUGCUCAAAUGCAACAUUCAUUUAUUUUUAAAUAUAGCAGAAAGGGUGGUCCUCACUUCCAUAGUUAUUCCACCCGGUCCUCAGUCUGGUGUGUGUGUGUGUGUGUGUGUGUGUGUGUG